UACAGAGGGUGCGAGCGUUAAUCGGAAUUACUGGGCGUAAAGCGUGCGUAGACGGUUAUUUAAGUCGGGUGUGAAAGCCCCGGGCUCAACCUGGGAAUUGCAUUCGAGACUGAAUAGCUAGGGUACGGUAGAGGGAAGCGGAAUUUCCGGUGUAGCGGUGAAAUGCGUAGAUAUCGGAAGGAACAUCAGUGGCGAAAGCGGCCUCCUGGACCAGUACCGACGUUCAGGCACGAAAGCGUGGGGAGCAAACAGG
rnacentral:rRNA from 1 species